AGGAAAGUCCGGACUCCACAAGGCAGGGUGGUCGGUAACGCCGACCGGGAGCAAUCCCAGGGAAAGUGCCACAGAAAAUAUACCGCCAACGUCUUCGCUUGCGAAGACGCGGGCAAGGGUGAAAUGGUGCGGCCGGGGAUCAACCUGGCUCAAUGCAAGAGCGCACCGCGCGGCGGGCAACCGUCGUGGCAGGGUAAACCCCAUCCGAAGCAAGACCAAGCAGGGAGCACGAGCGGCCCGCUUCAUGGCCUGACGGACGGACACCAGCAUUCCGGCUUGCCGGAAUGCAAAGGUUCCGGUCGCAGACCGGAAACUCCCGGGUAGGUCGCAUAGAUCAAUGGCCACCCUCCGUUUCGGCGGAGACAGAAUCCGGCUUAUGGGCGGACUUCGGGC
rnacentral:RNase_P_RNA from 1 species